GUCCACGCCGUAAACGAUGAUAACUAGCUGUCCGGGCACUUGGUGUCUGGGUGGCGCAGCUAACGCAUUAAGUUAUCCGCCUUGGGAGUACGGUCGCAAGAUUAAAACUCAAAGGAAUUGACGGGGGCCUGCACAAGCGGUGGAGCAUGUGGUUUAAUUCGAAGCAACGCGCAGAACCUUACCAGCCUUUGACAUCCCGCGCUACCUGGAGAGAUUCAGGGUUCCCUUCGGGGACGCGGUGACAGGUGCUGCAUGGCUGUCGU
rnacentral:rRNA from 1 species